CCUUACGACAGGAUUUGAUUGACAGGUCCUAUCAGCCAAUCAGAAUGUAGGGCUGAUAAGUCGUGUUGCUAUCCGCCAUUUUGUCCGUCAAACUGACCAGAGUCCGUCAUAUACAUGCGCUGGCAAUUUCUCGCCUUUUAAAGUAUUAUGGUAAAAAGGUGUUGUCAUGGCACUUGUAAUUCGGAUACAAGGUAGCCAGGCCGACUAAAGAUGGCUUCCAAUUCGUUCCGUAUUCGAAACCAGCGAGUUAUUUAGAAAAAUUCAAGUGCUGUAUCAGACUCUGUGGAAGACCUCAUCAACAGCUGAACUUGGAAAUUUUGAAAGAUCGUUCAAAGGCGAAACAUCUAUACGUCUGUACAAAAGUAUUUUUUUGAACAAUACUACUUAUUUCAAUCCACUCAAAAUUUAUUUAAUACUGAUAUUGUCCGUGCAUGACCUAAAUAAGUGUUACUAUUUUUAAACUAUUAACAUCGUACAUUUAUGCUUUGGCUUGUGUUGUCAAAUCGGCAUUAAUGGCCAUUUAAUAUCAGGUUCAACAUGGACACGAUUGAUUUCAUUCAAGAUAGAGGUAUUUUUGUUGAUACCGUUAUGUAGUUUUUAUAAACUGCUUUGCUUUCAAAGUAAAUCAGGAAAUAUCGUACAACUAAAUUUUUGUCCGAACCAUCGCAUGCUUCCGAAUCUCAUCUACUCGUAUGGUUCCUAUGUAAACAAUGGCUUUUGUAGCUGUCAUUCCGACACAUUUCAUAGAUUUCUUACUUUCAUAUCAGCACUUUGUCGACGGGAAAUCCAAUCAAGAAAACCCUGACCCUCAAGCAGCUACUGUAUUUGACCAGCUCACACCAGCUAGGCCUCCUCCAAAACUCAGAUAAAUAUUUGAGCCACCAAAACAAAACGAGAACAGAUCGGUCUGAAUCGUUAAGAACUGAAGCUAACAUCAUAGAGGUACAUCCUUCUAAGAAUCCAUCAAAACAACAUGCUGAACAACUUCAAGAACUCUCUUCAAAAGACCACACUUUCCUGAAAUAAAUAAAAGAUGCCAAUAUUAAAAUAAAUCAGUUACAUGUAUUGUUAAAUAUUUUAAUACUAGCUGUAAAUGCUACUGCCUUUGAUGUUUGCUUUCUACAUGUAUAUCAUAAUGAAAUAUUGACAAGAUAAUAGCUAAUGUUU